rnacentral:rRNA from 1 species
ACUGUGUGUUGUUGGGUAGGGGAGCGUUCUGUAAGCCUGUGAAGGUGGCCUGUGAGGGUUGCUGGAGGUAUCAGAAGUGCGAAUGCUGACAUAAGUAACGAUAAAGCGGGUGAAAAGCCCGCUCGCCGGAAGACCAAGGGUUCCUGUCCAACGUUAAUCGGGGCAGGGUGAGUCGACCCCUAAGGCGAGGCCGAAAGGCGUAGUCGAUGGGAAACGGGUUAAUAUUCCCGUACUUGGUGUUACUGCGAAGGGGGGACGGAGAAGGCUAUGUUGGCCGGGCGACGGUUGUCCCGGUUUAAGCGUGUAGGUGUGUGUUCCAGGUAAAUCCGGUUCACUUUAACACUGAGGCGUGACGACGAGGCACUACGGUGCUGAAGCAACAAAUGCCCUGCUUCCAGGAAAAGCCUCUAAGCAUCAGGUAACAUCAAAUCGUACCCCAAACCGACACAGGUGGUCAGGUAGAGAAUACCAAGGCGCUUGAGAGAACUCGGGUGAAGGAACUAGGCAAAAUGGUGCCGUAACUUCGGGAGAAGGCACGCUGACACGUAGGUGAAGUGAUUUACUCACGGAGCUGAAGUCAGUCGAAGAUACCAGCUGGCUGCAACUGUUUAUUAAAAACACAGCACUGUGCAAACACGAAAGUGGACGUAUACGGUGUGACGCCUGCCCGGUGCCGGAAGGUUAAUUGAUGGGGUCAGCGCAAGCGAAGCUCCUGAUCGAAGCCCCGGUAAACGGCGGCCGUAACUAUAACGGUCCUAAGGUAGCGAAAUUCCUUGUCGGGUAAGUUCCGACCUGCACGAAUGGCGUAAUGAUGGCCAGGCUGUCUCCACCCGAGACUCAGUGAAAUUGAACUCGCUGUGAAGAUGCAGUGUACCCGCGGCAAGACGGAAAGACCCCGUGAACCUUUACUAUAGCUUGACACUGAACAUUGAGCCUUGAUGUGUAGGAUAGGUGGGAGGCUUUGAAGCGUGGACGCCAGUCUGCGUGGAGCCGACCUUGAAAUACCACCCUUUAAUGUUUGAUGUUCUAACGUGGACCCGUAAUCCGGGUUGCGGACAGUGUCUGGUGGGUAGUUUGACUGGGGCGGUCUCCUCCUAAAGAGUAACGGAGGAGCACGAAGGUUGGCUAAUCCUGGUCGGACAUCAGGAGGUUAGUGCAAUGGCAUAAGCCAGCUUGACUGCGAGCGUGACGGCGCGAGCAGGUGCGAAAGCAGGUCAUAGUGAUCCGGUGGUUCUGAAUGGAAGGGCCAUCGCUCAACGGAUAAAAGGUACUCCGGGGAUAACAGGCUGAUACCGCCCAAGAGUUCAUAUCGACGGCGGUGUUUGGCACCUCGAUGUCGGCUCAUCACAUCCUGGGGCUGAAGUAGGUCCCAAGGGUAUGGCUGUUCGCCAUUUAAAGUGGUACGCGAGCUGGGUUUAGAACGUCGUGAGACAGUUCGGUCCCUAUCUGCCGUGGGCGCUGGAGAACUGAGGGGGGCUGCUCCUAGUACGAGAGGACCGGAGUGGACGCAUCACUGGUGUUCGGGUUGUCAUGCCAAUGGCACUGCCCGGUAGCUAAAUGCGGAAGAGAUAAGUGCUGAAAGCAUCUAAGCACGAAACUUGCCCCGAGAUGAGUUCUCCCUGAGACUUUAGGUCUCCUGAAGGAACGUUGAAGACGACGACGUUGAUAGGCCGGGUGUGUAAGCGCAGCGAUGCG